rnacentral:rRNA from 1 species
UGCGUAGGGGGCAAGCGUUAUCCGGAUUCACUGGGUGUAAAGGGAGCGUAGACGGCCAUGCAAGCCUGGAGUGAAAGCCCGGGGCCCAACCCCGGGACUGCUCUGGGAACUGUGCGGCUGGAGUGCAGGAGGGGCAGGCGGAAUUCCUGGUGUAGCGGUGAAAUGCGUAGAUAUCAGGAGGAACACCGGUGGCGAAGGCGGCCUGCUGGACCGCGACUGACGUUGAGGCUCGAAAGCGUGGGGAGCAAACAGG